AGACAACACUAAAAUUGGUUACAUAUUAACUCUGUCAUAUCUAAGCUACAAGAAAUCUUUACCACAAACAGAAUGCUUGGCCCAGUCAGAAGUUUUGAACAUUAGUCAAUAACUAAACCCUUCUGUCUCACAGGAAAACCAGUCUUAAAACUAAGGUCUCUUAUUUUGCACCUUUUCAUCAGGAGGCUGAGGGUUAAAGUUUUUCA